rnacentral:lncRNA from 1 species
AAUCAUGAAAAAUAAUAAUAACGAUCCAAAAAAUGGUUUUAAUUUAAAAUAUGAAAGAGGAUUUUAUUUAAAUUUUUUUGGUGAAACCCUCAUAUUUUUUGGAUCAAUAUUAGAAUUAAUAUGAUUUAAUGAAAAUCAAAGGAAUAAAAUAAAAAUCAGAAAAUACAAAAAAAAACGUGGACCACUUUAUUUCCCUCAUUAAUUGAGAUGACAGAUCAACUGGACACAAACACGCGUUCCAUGAUGGAACU